rnacentral:rRNA from 1 species
GAUGAACGCUGGCGGCGUGCCUAAUACAUGCAAGUCGAGCGAACAGACGAGAAGCUUGCUUUUCUGAUGUUAGCGGCGGACGGGUGAGUAACACGUGGAUAACCUACCUAUAAGACUGGGAUAACUUCGGGAAACCGGAGCUAAUACCGGAUAAUAUUUUGAACCGCAUGGUUCAAAAGUGAAAGACGGUCUUGCUGUCACUUAUAGAUGGAUCCGCGCUGCAUUAGCUAGUUGGUAAGGUAACGGCUUACCAAGGCAACGAUGCAUAGCCGACCUGAGAGGGUGAUCGGCCACACUGGAACUGAGACACGGUCCAGACUCCUACGGGAGGCAGCAGUAGGGAAUCUUCCGCAAUGGGCGAAAGCCUGACGGAGCAACGCCGCGUGAGUGAUGAAGGUCUUCGGAUCGUAAAACUCUGUUAUUAGGGAAGAACAUAUGCGUAAGUAACUGUGCACAUCUUGACGGUACCUAAUCAGAAAGCCACGGCUAACUACGUG